GGCACCUGUCAGUGUGGGGUAUAUUAGGCAGCAAGUGAACAUUCAGUCUUUGAUGUUGAUGUCUUUGAAGCAGGAAACUGGCUUGAUGGCAAUGAACCCAGCAGAGGGAUGAGAUCAGCAGUACGGCCUUUUCUUCAGACCACCAGUAAUUCAGAGACGGCUGUUAUUUCAACAUGUGGCAAUCCUUAACCAGAUGUCAUUCUGUGGCCAGACAAUCAGCAGCAUGGAGGACAUGCAUGGAGACAGGCA